GGGUAAGUAGGUUGGUCGUGCCACCGGUACGUACUGGUCUCACUGAUUCCCCCUUCCUGAAGAACCGUAAUGCCCUUAAUUUGGUGUUGCGGGGAAACAGGACUGUUACUUUGAAAAAAUUAGAGUGUUUAAAGCAAGCUAACGCUUGAAUACAUUAGCAUGGAAUAAUGAAAUAGGACGAUCGAUCCUAUUUUGUUGGUUUCUAGGAUUGACGUA
rnacentral:rRNA from 1 species